rnacentral:rRNA from 1 species
UACGUAGGAUCCGAGCGUUAUCCGGAUUUACUGGGCGUAAAGAGUUGCGUAGGUGGCAUAGUAAGUCAGUAGUGAAAUCCUGGGGCUCAACCCCUUCAACAUUAUUGAAACUGCUAAGCUAGAGCAUGAGAGAGGUUACUGGAAUUCCAAGUGUAGGAGUGAAAUCCGUAGAUAUUUGGAGGAACACCGAUGGCGUAGGCAGGUAACUGGCUCAUUGCUGACACUAAGGCACGAAAGCGUGGGGAGCAAACGGG